GACAGAGGCCUCGAGCGUUAGGCGGAAUCACUGGGCUUAAAGGGCGCGUAGGCGGGCUGUCAAGUCUGGGGUGAAAUGCCGCGGCUCAACCGUGGAACUGCCUUAGAUACUGACGGCCUCGAGGAAGGUAGGGGCAUGCGGAACUGUAGGUGGAGCGGUGAAAUGCGUUGAUAUCUACAGGAACUCCGGUGGCGAAAGCGGCGUGCUGGACCUUUUCUGACGCUGAGGCGCGAAAGCUAGGGGAGCAAACGGG
rnacentral:rRNA from 1 species